AAAAAAAAAAAAAAAAAAAAACUCUCUUUCUUUCUCAAAAUGUGUAUGAUUGUGUUGUGUGUGGGUGUUGGAGGAGAACAGCUACGCAGUUCUUGUCAAGGGGAAUCCCAUUCAUAUUCAAUUCAUGGAUCAUCAGACACCUGACUGCAAAAAGAUUAUGCGCUUUAUGCUGUGCAAUUCCAUCUGUUUGUCACCUGUUGUUCCUUAGUCGAGAGGGUUUUCGGCGAGCAUGCAUGAGAGCAAAGAAACGACCUUCAAUCUAUCUCCCCGCUUACCCGUGUCUUAACUUGUCUUCCAUUUUAAUUGCCAUCGACCUCGGUCAUCCUUGUCGCCAGUACUUUGUGAAACUCAUUACCGUAGUUAGUUGUGCUUGGCUCAGCUACAUAUUGUUCACCAGUGACGUUGUUGCCACUUGAAGGUCGGCGAGAUCUACUUGCUGCGCAGCAGCGGCUUCCACCAGAUUUAUUUAUAUUUGUGGACCCAAACGGUUAAGAUGUGGUGGUUCCGCCGGGCUAAGGGCGUGGAUAUGUUCUGAUGAAGAGUAGUCUUGCUCUUCCAUUUGUUGUGAUGUUUUUGUAAGCCAAGGGCUAAUCUAUAUGGGUCCGAGAGACCAUUUUGUGUAACUGGGCUAUUGGCUUGGAAGAUGUAAGCCCUUAGGGGCAUUUUAUUUGUGUUAAGAUUAGAUGCUUCACAUGCUGUAGAUUCAUGUAUUUCUAUAUUCUUGAACAUUUAAACAUUGAUGGUAUAUUAUGUAAAGGUUGGAGUUAUGACAUUAUUGAUUGGGUGAAUGUUGAUUAA